CCCGAAAAGCCAAAAAAACUGAUUCGUAAUCAGUAGGUCCCCGGUUCAAUCCCGGGUGUCGGCACCA
rnacentral:tRNA from 1 species